rnacentral:snRNA from 1 species
UCUCUUCAUAAUGAAUAAAUCUUUCGCCUCUAACUAAAGAUUUCACUGGAGAGG